AGAAUUCUUCGGUCAUCCACCACAGUUGUUUUCCAUGGUCUUCAGGGUCUUUUGGUGUUGCUGAGCUCACCGGUGUGUUCCUUCUUUUUAAGAAUGUUCCAAACAGUUGUUUUGGCCACGCCUAAUGUUUUUGCUAUCUCACUGAUGGGUUUGUUUUGUUUUUUCAGCCUAAUGAUGGCUUGCUUCACUGAUAGUGACAGCUCUUUGGAUCUCAUCUUGAGAGUUGACAGCAACAGACUCCAAAUGCAAACAGCACACUUGAAAUGAACUCUGGACCUUUUAUCUACUCAUUGUAAUUGGGAUAAUGAGGGAAUAACACACACCUGGCCAUGGAACAGCUGAGAAGCCAAUUGUCCCAUCACUUUUGGUCCCUUAACAAGUGGGAGGCACAUAUGCAAACUGUUGUAAUUCCUACACCGUUCACCUGAUUUGGAUGUAAAUACCCUCAAAUUAAAGCUGACAGUCUGCAGUUAAAGCACAUCUUGUUCGUUUCAUUUGAAAUCCAUUGUGGUGGUGUAUAGAGCCAAAAAUGUUAGAAUUGUGUCACUGUCCCAAUAUUUAUGGACCUGACUGUACAUGGGCCUGAAUGCCUAACGUAACUACCCACAGCCUUAUGAAUGUUUUACUGGCAUUACCACAGUCAUUAAAUUGUUGCACUACGUACUAUGCUAGGUGGGAUAUUACUGGAUCGAGUUCUGGCAGCAAACUCAGUCUCUCUCAUUAGUGCCACCAUUCAAAAUGUCAGUGUAAAAUAAUACUAGUGAGUAAAUAUAGCAAGGAGCCUAGGGCCCAGAAGCAUGCAUUUCUUUUUCUGCAUGGCUCAUACUUAGGGGAAUGGCUGUCAAGAGUCUGGGGCUUUAACAUAUGGCAAACAGUGGUUAAAAGGAGGAAAGAAAUGGGCCCUGUGUGCCUCCACAGAACAAAGACCUGUAUGGGCUGACCACUACAUUAACCCCUGUGCUGCUGAACCAAACCUACGUGAGAUCCAAACAAGAGUUUUUUUUACCACCCGGAAAUAGGAACGGAUGCUGGAAAAAGACAACCAACACUAAAAUAAGCCUAAUCAUGGCCUCCUUCACUUGCAUUGACUUGUAGAGCAGUUCCUGUCUCCAGUCUCAAGGGUAUGAGUGAGGUCUAGCUGCACCAGAAAAGAAGGAAGAAUGCAAAAAAAGCUGACAUUCUAUAACAGCAUGUCCUCCCUAUCCUCACGAGCCUCCACUGCUGGCAUCCCCAUCAUCUCCAGCCAACUUGCUGUCAUUGACUGUGUCUCCCUUAGCACCCGCAGCACUCUCUACAUCUGAACUAACAGCUGAUGAGGACAAACAAGCCAUGGGAGUAGAUUACAAGAAACUUGCUAAAGAAGUACUGACAUUAUCAAUGGGUGGCACAGAACCAGAACUGACCAAGACAUUUGCUGAGGGUCCAACAGGUACCACUAAGUCAAACCACGAGUAUCAACCCUCUCAGGGGGCAGCUAGUUCACCUUAUUAAAAAUUGUCCUCAACUUUUUGUCCUCAACAAUAAAUCAAAAUUUGCAGACUCUAAACCAGAUCCAUUCAUUAAAAAUUGUUAAUUGUUAAAGGUAAGGUAAUUCUCUUUC